GACGUAGGGCGCGAGCGUUGUCCGGAUUUAUUGGGCGUAAAGAGCUCGUAGGCGGCUUGUCGCGUCGUCCGUGAAAACCCACAGCUCAACUGUGGGCUUGCGGUCGAUACGGGCAGGCUAGAGUUCGGUAGGGGAGACUGGAAUUCCUGGUGUAGCGGUGAAAUGCGUAGAUAUCGAGAGGAACACCUGCGGCGAAGGCGGGUAGCUGGGCCGCAACUGACGCUGAGGAACGAAAGCUAGGGGAGCAAACAGG
rnacentral:rRNA from 1 species